ACACGACUACAUUAGAUACCCGCGUAGUCCUAGCCGUAAACGAUACUCGCUAGGUGUCGGCCACGGUGCGACCGUUGUCGGUGCCGUAGGGAAGCCGUGAAGCGAGCCACCUGGGAAGUACGGCCGCAAGGCUGAAACUUAAAGGAAUUGGCGGGGGAGCACAACAACGGGUGGAGCUUGCGGUUUAAUUGGAUUCAACGCCGGAAAUCUUACCGGGACCGACAGCAACUUGAAGGCCAAGCUGAAGACUUUGCCGGAUUAGCUG
rnacentral:rRNA from 1 species